rnacentral:rRNA from 1 species
UGGCUCAGGAUGAACGCUAGCGACAGGCUUAACACAUGCAAGUCGAGGGGCAUCACGGGAGGUAGCAAUACCUUCUGGUGGCGACCGGCGCACGGGUGAGUAACACGUAUGCAACCUGCCCUGUACAGAGGGACAAGCGGUGGAAACGCCGUCUAAUCCCGCAUGCACUCUUCCGGGGGCAUCCCCGGGAGAGUAAAGGAGAGAUCCGGUACAGGAUGGACAUGCGGCGCAUUAGUUAGUUGGCGGGGUAACGGCCCACCAAGACGACGAUGCGUAGGGGUUCUGAGAGGAAGGUCCCCCACAUUGGAACUGAGACACGGUCCAAACUCCUACGGGAGGCAGCAGUGAGGAAUAUUGGUCAAUGGGCGGAAGCCUGAACCAGCCAAGUAGCGUGAGGGAUGACUGCCCUAUGGGUUGUAAACCUCUUUUAUAAGGGAAUAAAAUACGGGACGUGUCCUGUUUUGCAUGUACCUUAUGAAUAAGGACCGGCUAAUUCCGUGCCAGCAGCCGCGGUAAUACGGAAGGUCCGGGCGUUAUCCGGAUUUAUUGGGUUUAAAGGGAGCGCAGGCGGUCUUAUAAGCGUGACGUGAAAUGCAGCGGCUCAACCGUAUGAUGUGCGUCGCGAACUGUGAGACUUGAGUGUAUUCGAUGUCAGCGGAAUUUGUGGUGUAGCGGUGAAAUGCUUAGAUAUCACGAAGAACUCCGAUUGCGAAGGCAGCAUACCGGCAGCCCACUGACGCUGAGGCACGAAAGCGUGGGGAUCAAACAGGAUUAGAUACCCUGGUAGUCCACGCAGUAAACGAUGGAUGUUAGCUGUUCGGAGCGAAUGAGUUCUGAGUGGCACAGCGAAAGCGUUAAACAUCCCACCUGGGGAGUACGCCGGCAACGGUGAAACUCAAAGGAAUUGACGGGGGCCCGCACAAGCGGAGGAACAUGUGGUUUAAUUCGAUGAUACGCGAGGAACCUUACCCGGGCUCAAACGGCACAGUGAUACUUUUGAAAGGAGGUAGCUCUACGGAGACUGUGCCGAGGUGCUGCAUGGUUGUCGUCAGCUCGUGCCGUGAGGUGUCGGCUUAAGUGCCAUAACGAGCGCAACCCCUAUUGUCAGUUGCCAGCAGGUAAAGCUGGGGACUCUGACGAGACUGCCGGCGCAAGCUGAGAGGAAGGCGGGGAUGACGUCAAAUCAGCACGGCCCUUACGUCCGGGGCGACACACGUGUUACAAUGGCAGGCACAGCGGGAAGCCACCCGGCGACGGGGAGCGGAACCCGAAAGCCUGUCUCAGUUCGGAUCGGAGUCUGCAACUCGACUCCGUGAAGCUGGAUUCGCUAGUAAUCGCGCAUCAGCCAUGGCGCGGUGAAUACGUUCCCGGGCCUUGCACUCACCGCCCGUA